rnacentral:rRNA from 1 species
AAUGAACGCUGGCGGCAGGCCUAACACAUGCAAGUCGAACGGUAGCACAGAGAGCUUGCUCUCGGGUGACGAGUGGCGGACGGGUGAGUAACGUCUGGGAAACUGCCCGAUGGAGGGGGAUAAAUACUGGAAACGGUAGCUAAUACCGCAUAACGUCGCAAGACCAAAGUGGGGGACCUUCGGGCCUCACACCAUCGGAUGUGCCCAGAUGGGAUUAGCUAGUAGGUGGGGUAAUGGCUCACCUAGGCGACGAUCCCUAGCUGGUCUGAGAGGAUGACCAGCCACACUGGAACUGAGACACGGUCCAGACUCCUACGGGAGGCAGCAGUGGGGAAUAUUGCACAAUGGGCGCAAGCCUGAUGCAGCCAUGCCGCGUGUAUGAAGAAGGCCUUCGGGUUGUAAAGUACUUUCAGCGGGGAGGAAGGCGGUGAAGUUAAUAGCUUCACCGAUUGACGUUACCCGCAGAAGAAGCACCGGCUAACUCCGUGCCAGCCGCCGCCGUAA